rnacentral:lncRNA from 1 species
CCAGGGGCGCGCCCCCUCCCCAGGAGGCCCGCCCGCGGGGCGCCGUCCACCCCGGGGGCUGCGGAGGCGCCCCGCUGCCACUCGGCGGCGCCUGUCCCGGCGGCACGCCGCGCCGACCCAGGGCAGGGAACACCCCGCCCUCGGACGGCCCCGGCUUCCCCGCGGCCUCUUGACACCGAGGCCUCUUCACGCGCGGCGCCGACCCGGGGCCGCCGGGUUCGCGACGGGCCUGCCAAUCAGAGGCGCUUUCCUCAGAGCGGCCAACCGACCAAUCACCGCGCGCCAGUGUCUUCGGCUCUUCGGCUCUUCGGCUCUUCGGCUCUUCGGCCCUUCGGCCCUUCGGCUCUUCGGCGCUCGCGGGGGCUGCGCCGGCCCUCCGCGGCCUUCCGCCGCGCUCUCUACGGCUCCGCUCGUCCCCGUUUAAUUUCCCCUUUUUCCUCAGACACUUCCGGGUCCGGCGUCGCUCCGGAAGCCCGCGCGUCCCGGAAGCCUGGGUAAUCCCGGUUCUGCUCGGAGAAGCCGAGCUUCCCGGAGAAUGUUUCAGAGAAAGUUACGUGGGCCGGGGGCGUUCCGCAGACGCGUCAGACCUCUCCCUUCUUAACUGCCUGUCAAUAAGGUCGAUAAGUCUCACAUUGAGAUCACACACACAGUGGAAUCACCUGGAGAACUUGAAAACCAAGUAGGUCUUGUCUUCAGAGAUUCUGAUUUAAUUAAUGUGGUUGAGGCAUCAAAUUUUUUAGAAUCUCCUAGA